AAUGGACAGAUCGAGCCCUGAGUUGUACUGUUACCGGUUCCCGUGGCGUAACGACUCCCGCCGUGGCCGAUUUCAGGCUGCCGACUAGAAGUCACUCCGCCCGGCCUUGGGGACAGACGCGCAGCGGCAGACAGGUAAGGCACAACUCUGCAAAGUCGCCCUCUCUAACCUCCAUCUCAAGAGGUGCCCAGUGGUGGCAGUCCCUGCAGAAUCCAGUCUGCGUCUUGAUCGAACCUUAAUCAGUACAUCGCACCCGUUUCACGCGUUGGUGACACUGCCGGUGCCAUCCCGUUGGCCGACCCUUCACCAGGGGGAGUAGCAUUUGUAUGCUUGGGUUCAGUCUGAGAUGGUCAGCGCCUCUGAGAACUGAGCUUGGCCCUUCAGCAACAUGCAUGGGGCCACUUACACGUGGAUUUUUUUUUUCAACAAAUAUAGCACAGUACUGCAA